AGAGAGCGGAGUACGGAGACGCUGGCAGAGAGGUAGUCUCGGUGACAGUGAGGCUGGAGAACGCUGCAGGCAGACAAAUAGCCCCUGGCGGAGAGGCAGUCCCGGUGACGGCGAGGUUGGAGAGCCAGAGAGCUGUGCAGUAGAGGCGCAGGCAACAGAGUAAGAGGGAGAACGGUGAGGAGUGAGAUCCUGUCAGUGCUGAGGACUCACUGAUUGGUACAAGAACUACAAUAAGAGGUACCUACACUAUCUGUCUUACAAUAAUCAGACAGAGGGGGUGGAGAGGCAGAGCGUAGAGGAACAAGAGGAACAGGAGGAGUCGGGGGAGCUACCAGAGGAUCAUCAAGGCAAUGUGGCCGGGACCCGCAACAUCACUUCCGCCGGAAGUUAGUAACCCAGGGGGACAGACGUGGAGCCCGGGACGCGAUGGCUGCGGUGACCAGCAUGGGGGAGAUGUUCAAGGGGCAACGGAGGGUUCGGCACAUGCGCGCACGUCGCGGGAGCGUGACGUCACCGACCCUGCGUCCAGCGGUUCCUGUUUCCAUGUGGGUGUCUUCACGGGUCUCUUAUGGUAUAAAGGCAACGGAGGGUUCGGCACAUGCGCGCAUGAGCGCACGUCGCGGGAGCGUGACGUCACCGACCCUGCGUCCAGCGGUUCCUGUUUCCAUGUGGGUGUCUUCACGGGUCUCUUAUGGUAUAAAGGAGAAAAUGCAGAAUUUCAAAAGGGUAGUUUUCCAAAUGCAUGAACAAAACAAGGAAUAACCUUCAUCCAUUCCCCACUGAAGAGUCUUUCACAGCAAUGUUGGGAAGGGGUUGUGGGAAGCUGUAGGAAUGAGAAAUUCUGUGUCUGGCACCUCACACCCCUCUCCUCUAGAUUCCCAUCGUCUGGAAAUAAUGAAAUCACAAUGCAUUGUUCAUUUUCGAAAGUUUUCCAAAAGAGUUUGUUUAGUUAACUCCUGCAGCAUAGCAAUCUACUUAAUGUGACCACAAUAUUGUUUAUUCCCGUAAACUAAAUGUGUCUAAAUUGA